rnacentral:lncRNA from 1 species
ACAAAAGUGAGGCAACUGGAGCAAUGGAUGUGAAGGAGGAUGGUGAGGAGUUUGCAGACGAGGGUACUAGUAUUUAUGGAUGACUCGAAGUGGUGGGAGCAAAAGCAAGGGAGGGAAGCCGUAUUCUUGUAAUUUCAAGAGAGGGUUGAUCUCAUAGAGGAGGAGGGAGAACAUCAUGGUGGGUGAGGCCAAGGCAAAGGAGGGAGAGCAUUUGGCAAGUAGAGCUAGAACCUAUUUAGGUUUCUAUACAGCUAGGCCUAGCACAGAAAUGAGAACCAUUUUUUUUUUCAAAAUCCUAGCCCAAACAAGUCCAAAAGGAGAAAGAGCAGGAGGGGAGAAAGAUAGAGUAGGAGAGAGGAGAGAGGAUGUGAGAUCAAAUGGAGAGAGAAACAAGAGAGGGGAGAGAUAGGAGAGGAGAGAGAUCGAAGAGAGGGAAGAGAGAUAUCGAGAAGGAGAGAGAGAGAGGAGGAGGGGAGAGAGACCAGGAUGGGGAAAGGAAGAGAGGAGAGAAAAUGGAGAGUGGAGAGAGAGAUCAGAUGGAAAAGAGAAGAGGGAAAAAAGAUCAAUAGGGAGAGAGAGGAUAAAAGAGAGAGAGUGACAAGGGGAAAG